UACGGGGGGCGCAAGCGUUGUUCGGAUUUACUGGGCGUAAAGGGCUCGUAGGCGGCCAACUAAGUCAGACGUGAAAUCCCUCGGCUUAACCGGGGAACUGCGUCUGAUACUGGAUGGCUUGAGAUUGGGAGAGGGAUGCGGAAUUCCAGGUGUAGCGGUGAAAUGCGUAGAUAUCUGGAGGAACACCGGUGGCGAAGGCGGCAUCCUGGACCAACACUGACGCUGAGUGAGCGAAAGCCAGGGGAGCAAACGGG
rnacentral:rRNA from 1 species